rnacentral:rRNA from 1 species
AUUGAACGCUGGCGGCAGGCUUAACACAUGCAAGUCGAGCGGAGAUGAGGUGCUUGCACCUUAUCUUAGCGGCGGACGGGUGAGUAAUGCUUAGGAAUCUGCCUAUUAGUGGGGGACAACAUUCCGAAAGGAAUGCUAAUACCGCAUACGUCCUACGGGAGAAAGCAGGGGAUCUUCGGACCUUGCGCUAAUAGAUGAGCCUAAGUCGGAUUAGCUAGUUGGUGGGGUAAAGGCCUACCAAGGCGACGAUCUGUAGCGGGUCUGAGAGGAUGAUCCGCCACACUGGGACUGAGACACGGCCCAGACUCCUACGGGAGGCAGCAGUGGGGAAUAUUGGAAAAUGGGGGGAACCCUGAUCCAGCCAUGCCGCGUGUGUGAAGAAGGCCUUAUGGUUGUAAAGCACUUUAAGCGAGGAGGAGGCUACUGAGACUAAUACUCUUGGGUAGUGGACGUUACUCGCAGAAUAAGCACCGGCUAACUCUGUGCCAGCAGCCGCCGUAAAAC